rnacentral:rRNA from 1 species
UACGUAGGUGGCAAGCGUUGUCCGGAUUUAUUGGGUUUAAAGGGUGCGUAGGCGGCCUAUUAAGUCAGUGCUGAAAUAUCCCGGCUUAACCGGGAGGGUGGCAUUGAUACUGAUGGGCUUGAGUGGAGUCGAGGUAGGCGGAAUUGACGGUGUAGCGGUGAAAUGCUUAGAUAUCGUAAGGAAGACCAGCGGCGAAGGCGAGUUCCUGGACAGUUACUGACGCUGAGGCACGAAAGCCAGGGGAGCGAACGGG